AUGGAGUGGAGGGCGCCGUGUUUUGCUGAGGUGCGCACAAUCUCGCCCAUACGCACGCACAGGCCGGUGCGUGCUAUUCCAGCCCCUCGCCGAUGCCGUGCUAGAGUGGGCAUCCAGCCUGGUAGGAGAAUGCCUGCGCAGCGCGUCUGGUCACCGGUACGCCUCCUCGGACCAGGUUACCUUACGCCCGCUCUACGCACGGUAACCAUCAAGCCCCUGCACAGCCCAGUUCGCCCUGUAUCAGCACCCCGCUCGUGCAGGGCUGCUAGUUCCAUCCAGCCAGGACGGGUUGUGCAGGAGGUGCGGUCAAGGCCACCUGUGCGCCUCCAUGGCCCAGUCUUUCCGGUUCCCGCCUCUCGUGCUGACCCGGAAGUGAGUACCUCCAGUCUGGCACGACCAGUACCAGCACCACGGAUCAAGCUUCCCAUGGGUCAGCCUAGUCCUAGUCAGCCUGUUCCCGCUCCUCGCACUAGCCAUGGGGUGUGUGGUUUAAAACUGGCAGUUCCAGUACCAGCACCACGCAUUAGGCUUAUAGUGCAUAAUAGUAGUUCCUCUCGGCCGGUUCCUGCUUCCCGCACUAGCCCUAGGGUGCGUGUCUUCAGCCUGGUACCUCCUCUACCAGCCCCACGCAUCAGGCUUCCAGUGCGUCAUCCCAGCCUCGAGAGUUCGGCAACAGUGUGCAGUCCAGAGUAUCCGGCAACAGUGUGCAGUCCAGAGUAUCCGGCAACAGUGUGCAGUCCAGAGUAUCCGGCAACAGUGUGCAGUCCAGAGUAUCCGGCAACAGUGUGCAGUCCAGAGUAUCCGGCAACAGUGUGCAGUCCAGAGUAUCCGGCAACAGUGUGCAGUCCAGAGUAUCCGGCAACAGUGUGCAGUCCAGAGUAUCCGGCAACAGUGUCCAGUCCGGAACCGAGGGAGUCUGCCUGCGACCCGGAACCAAGGGAGUCUGCAUGCGACCCGGAACCGGGGGAGUCUGCCUGUGACCCGGAACCGGGGGAGUCUGCCUGCGACCCGGAACCGGGGGAGUCUGUAUGA
rnacentral:lncRNA from 8 species